rnacentral:rRNA from 1 species
UACGGAGGGUGCAAGCAUUAAUCGGAUUUAUUGGGCGUAAAGGGCGCGUAGGCGGGGAUAAUAGUCAGAUGUGAAAUCCCGGGGCUCAACCUCGGAACUGCAUUUGAAACUGUAUCUCUAGAGGGUAGGCGGAGAAAACGGAAUUCCACAAGUAGCGGUGAAAUGCGUAGAUAUGUGGAAGAACACCGGUGGCGAAGGCGGUUUUCUAGCUUAAACCUGACGCUGAUGCGCGAAAGCAAGGGGAUCAAACAGG